UAGUUCAGCACUAAGUCACUUUGUCUUUAUGGCAAACUGUGAGAUGCAGUGUAUGGAAUGUCAAAUUUCUAGUAUGAGAAAUUAACGAUUUAAGUCCUUCUUAAAUGAGGCCAUUUACCCAAAGAGGGUGCCAGGCCCGUAUAACGUUAAUGAUUACUAGAUGGCAUUUCCAAAGAGUCGUGUUGCUUGAUAGUGCAGCACUAAGUGGGUGGUAAACUCCAUCUAAAACUAAAUAUAACCAUGAGACCGAUAGUAAACAAGUACCGUGAGGGAAAGUUGAAAAGAACUCUGAAUAGAGAGUUAAAUAGUACGUGAAACUGCUUAGAGGUUAAGCCCGAUGAACCUGAAUAUCCAUUAUGGAAAAUUCAUCAUUAUGAUUUUAAUAUUUGUAAUAUUAUAAUAAUGGUGUGCAUUUUUUCUAUAAAGGACAUUGUAAUCUAUUAACUUUAAUAUAUUUAUCAUAAGAUCAUUAGAUUAUGUUUAUUCAAAUUAUUUUGCUUGCAAUUUAAUAUCGAAUAAAUUCUUUUGAUUUGAUAAAGUGUUGAUAGAUUUAUUAUAUACAGUGCUUAAAUAUUUAUAUUUUAUAAUAUCAUAUUAAUCAAUGAUUUUUAUGUUCAUUAUAUGCACUUGUAUGAUUAACAAUGCGAAAGAUUCAGGAUACCUUCGGGACCCGUCUUGAAACACGGACCAAGGAGUCUAACAUAUUUGCAAGUUAUUGGGAAUAAAAACCUAAUAGCGAAAUUAACAUAACUUUAAUGGGAUUAGUUUUUAGCCUAUUUAUAGUCUAUUAAUUCAAUCCCGGGGCGUUCUAUACAGUUAUGUAUAAUAAUAUUUAUAUUAUUUAUACCUCUAACUAGAGCGUACCUUGAGCAUAUAUGCUGUGACCCGAAAGAUGGUGAACUAUACUUGAUCAGGUUGGAGUCAGGGGAAACCCUGAUGGAAGACCGAAACAGUUCUGACGUGCAAAUCGA
rnacentral:rRNA from 1 species